GAAAGUUCCAGAACAAAUUUUGCAGGAUGUAGCAAGUUGAGUCAGGUUGGACUAUAAGGUCCCUUCUAAAGUGAAGAUUCUGUAAUUUUCAACUUAGACAACUGAAGUAACUAAGUUUCCUCAUCUGAAAAAUGGAGAUACUACUAAUUUCAUAAAGUUGUGGUGAGGAGUAACUGAGUUAAGAAACCUGCUUAUCAAGACCUGAGGACCUGUCUGUCUGAUUUUUGAUUCCCAGCACUCAAUCUACAGGCCUCCUCAGCCUGCACAGCACAGACCACCGAGCUCUCUGCAAGAAAAAGUCCUCAAAGCACGUCCUUUGGAUUUUCUCUGUCUCACUGCCUAUCACAGCCAGCUGCUAUCAGUCCCUGGGUUCAAUCUCUCCUGAAUUAUAUGAAAUUCUCUCCUUAAUCAUUCAAUGUGAGAAGAAGAAAAACAUUCUUCUGAUCUAUAUUGGGGUGGGGCUGGGAGCUUUACGAUUUCUUUUUCAAAACAAGUGAAUUUCGCCAAUAGUUCCCUUAUCCCUUUGGACACGCCUUGCCUGUUGUGCAACAUUAUGACACUUUAUGACAACAUUAAGAGAAUAGCGAAUGGAAUCUUCUAACAAGAACCAUUCACCUUACCUCUUAUUUUGUUCAUA